AGAGCAAGCCCGUAAGCAGCGU
rnacentral:miRNA from 1 species